rnacentral:rRNA from 1 species
UCGAGGAUAUUUAGCAAUGGACGAAAGUCUGACUAUGUGACGCCGCGUGAGGGAUGAAGGUCUUCGGAUUGUAAACCUCUUUCGAUAGGGAAGAACACCUGCUAUUAACGUAGCAGAUUGACGGUACCUAGAUAAGAAGCCACGGCCAACUCUGUGCCAGCAGCCGCGGUAAUACAGAGGUGGCGAGCGUUACUCGGAUUUAUUGGGUGUAAAGGGCAAGUAGGCGUCUUGACAAGUUAAGAGUGAAAUCCUGCAGCUCAACUGCAGAACUGCUUUUAAAACUGUUAAGAUUGAGACUGAAAGAGGAGAGCGGAAUUCUCGGUGUAAGAGUGAAAUCUGUAGAUAUCGAGAGGAACACCAGUGGCGAAAGCGGCUCUCUGGUUCGGUUCUGACGCUGAAUUGCGAAAGCUAGGGGAGCAAACAGG